GGGCCGCGUUCUGUAACCUGCGCCUGCGCACCUCCGCCACCCGCCUAGUCGGUUGGAGAGAUAGCGGUGAGUGGACCUACGGGUAAAGUGUUUAUUCUAGCGCCUCCACGGCUGAGGUCCGCCAGCGUUCGAAGCAUCACCCACCCGGUGCUCUCUAAGGUCCUGGGCGAACGCCAGCCCAGCCUUCUUAAUCCCAAGGACCCUUUUGUUAGUCUGGGAAGCCUAGGGACUCCUCAGGUUCUCAUUGGCUGGGGUAAAGAACCCAGUGUCUUGGAUUGGGUUCUCCUGAGAGACUUCCAAGUUGCAGGUUGAAUCUUCUUGGGACUGGGAAAUGAAGUACAUCCUUUGAGGAAAGUUUCCGAUUGAGAGAAGAGCCUGAAACAUUAGGUUGUCAUUGAGAGUUGGUUCCUGGACUACUGAGCUGAAAGAGCAGAAAAGGAAAUAUCUGGUUCAGGAGCAGGGUUCAGUUUGAGGAAUGGGCAAAGAAAUUUAAGGAUGGGCUGAAAGACUUGCUACCAGGAUAACAGAAAGGACCUGAAUGCUAUGCAGAGUUGACACAAUUUUCUGACCUCAGUUUCCUGUAAAUGGGUGUUCAUGCUCAAUUUAAUGAGAUCAACUUAACCUUCAGCUUCCUGUAAAUUAAUUGGGGCUAAAUGACUCCCGGCCUUCACAUCUCUAAGCAGCAGUGUAUUACACAUAUCUAACCUACCUUGUUGUGAAACAUGCCUCUUUCCUUACUUGGGAGAGAAGCUGUGUAUGUGUCAUCAUAGCUCAGACAGACGUGAUUAACUUUUUAAGUUUUCCCUUGUUUGGAGAAGGAAGGCUGUGAUAAUAUUAGUCAUUCUGGCAGAAUGGGAAUUCCAUUGAUAGGGUUGCAGAGGUCUGGGCACUGAAAGACCUGAUCCUGGAAGUCAGCUUUUAACCUUUUCCCACUGAAUGGUUUAAUUUUCAUAAAGCUUCUUUUUUCUUCUUCUUUAAAUUAGGAAUUGAACAAAUAGCAACAAACACAAACAUUUCUCUA
rnacentral:lncRNA from 1 species